CGCNCAAGCGGUGANUGUUNUGGAUUAUUUCGAUGCAACGNGAACAANCCUUUCCNUACCCUUGACAUGUCCNGAAGGNUGAAGAGAUUNUGGGUGNGCCCGAAAGGGNAANUGGAACCACAGGUGCUGCAUGGCUNUNUCCAGCUCGCGUCGUGAGAAUGUUGGGUAAAGUCCCCGCAACNGAGCGCANCCCUUGUCGUUAAUUGCCAUCAUUUAGUUGGNGCACUUUAACGAGACUGCCNGGUNACAAACCGGAGGAAGGUGGGGAUGACGUCAAGUCCUCAUGGCCCUUNUGGGUAGGGCUUCACACGUCAUACAAUGGUCGGNACAGAGGGUUGCCAAGCCGCGAGGUGGAGCCAAUCCCAGAAAGCCGAUCGUAGUCCGGAUAANNAAAANNCAACUCGCCUGCGUGAAGUCGGAAUCGCUAGUAAUCGCGGAUCAGCAUGUCGCGGUGAAUACGUUCCCGGGUCUUGUACACACCGCCCGUCACACCAUGGGAGCGGGUUCCGCCAGAAGNAGGUAGCCUAAUCCGCAGAGGGGGGCGCUUACCACGGCGGNGUUCGUGACUGGGGUGAAGUCGUAACAUAGGUAGCCGUNGGGAAAACCUGCGGCUGGAUC
rnacentral:rRNA from 1 species